rnacentral:ncRNA from 1 species
UUAAAGAUGUAGAUGGAAAAGAGUAAGAUAAAGUAAUAUUUUAAGAGAGAAAUUAGUUUUGGUGAGAUAAUUUCAAUAUUUUUUAUCUGAAGUUCACUUCCGGAAUCGCUAUCGGAAUACGAUUUAAGUUGAAAGAUAGAACGUUGAUGCUACGUUAAAGGCAUAUUAGAGUGUUGUUGUACAAUUUUGUAUAACAAAACAAGGGUGGUACCGCGAGCCUCGUCCCUUUU